AAUUAUGAUAGCACCUGGGGGCCUCUCAGUGGUCUGUAAUGAUGUUUCUCUUCUAACAUUGCAGGGCCUUGGAGCAUGCUACAGGGAAACUUUUCAUUUACCAGAUGCCCAAUGGCAGGCAUUGUCUCAAACACCGAAUGCAUUGCAGGAUGCAGCUGUGCUGACACAAUGGAAAGAACUAUGCUGAAAAUACUCAGAAACUGGAGAAAGAAAACUGACAAAUUCACCUAUCCUGCACUAGAAGGUUUAGUUGCAUAUCAGUGCUAUGGGGUAUUUGGUAAGUAGCUCUUACUUUUUUCCAAAUUGCUUUUCUGAUACAGAAUUUGAUGCAGUAUUGAAACAUGU
rnacentral:lncRNA from 11 species